rnacentral:rRNA from 1 species
UACGUAGGGUGCAAGCGUUUGUCCGGAAUUUAUUGGGCGUAAAGAGCUCGUAGGCGGCUUGUCGCGUCGAAUGUGAAAACUCGGGCGGUCACAUCCGAUCGCUUGCAUUCGAUACGGGCAGGCUAGAGUUCGGUAGGGGAGACUGGAAUUCCUGGUGUAGCGGUGAAAUGCGCAGAUAUCAGGAGGAACACCGGUGGCGAAGGCGGGUCUCUGGGCCGAUACUGACGCUGAGGAGCGAAAGCGUGGGGAGCGAACAGG